rnacentral:rRNA from 1 species
UACGUAGGGACCAAGCGUUGUUCGGAUUUACUGGGCGUAAAGGGCGCGUAGGCGGCCUACUAAGUCAGACGUGAAAUCCCCCGGCUUAACCUGGGAACUGCGUCUGAUACUGGAAGGCUUGAGGAUGGGAGAGGGAUGUAGAAUUCCAGGUGUAGCGGUGAAAUGCGUAGAUAUCUGGAGGAACACCGGUGGCGAAGGCGGCAUCCUGGACCGGCAUUGACGCUGAGGCGCGAAAGCUAGGGGAGCAAACGGG